rnacentral:lncRNA from 1 species
AAUCCUAAUAAAUACAAUAAGCCCCGCCCCACAUUUUUCUUAUUGAAUAUCUUGUUGUUUGCCUCUGAAGUAAUCAGAUUAGAGAAGUAAAAUGGCUUGUGACAGCUAUUUCAUGUUGACUUCGAAGGUAGCACUCUAGAACGUUAAAGGGAGGGAUAGUUCACCCAAAAAUUAAAAUUCUGUCAGUAAUUACUCACCCUCAUGUUGAUCCAAACAUGUAAGUCUUUCGUUCAUCUUCGGAUCACAAAUUAAUAUUUUUGUGAUUAAAUAUGAGCGCUGGAAUACUCCUCCAUUGGCUUUAAGGGGGCCCAAACUUGUCCGUCCAGAAAGUCAGUGAAGAAAAUGUUUAAAUAGUCCAUGCCACUACAGUGGCUCAACCGUACGUUUCUCAAGCGACGAUAAUACUUUUCGUGCGAAAAAAACAAACAAAAGAACGACUUUAUUCAACUAUUCAUUUUCUCUCUUGUAGGCCUCUGACGUUAGUUCACGAGAGCUCCAUGACGCAUGCGCGAGAACUAAACUGACGACGAUCUUCUUCUACUACUACUUGUUACUGGCUGCUCACUCCUUAGGAGUAUUACCGCCACCUAGUGUUCAAGAUGAAGUGCUGGCAUAGCCGGAAGCGCUAAACUUUGUUUACAAGCAGGUGAACGCGCGCGCGGUAGUUAAAACCAUUAUUUGUAAAUAUGUCGGCAGAUUUUGACGUAGAUGAAGACUUGAAUUUUUUUAACCAACCUUACUUAUUCGAACCUGAAUACACAGACAUUGAAAUGCAAGAGAUGGAAGAGGCUGCCGCUGCAACACCAACCCAGUCUCAAGCUUCCGAAAUGUGCUGCAUCGAUUGGGCACAUUGUCAUGCCACAGCUUGAAAGUUUGGAUAACGCAGACAAUGGGACAAGUGUAUUUCGGCUGUAUAACCGAGGAUCCCGGUUUUCCGCCCCUGCUAAGUCGAAGUGUUUUAGAAGUGUUUUUUAAUUUGCCUAAAGUGAACUGGAAGAGACGUCCGAGGCCAGAAGGACCGGCUGGCACUUUAUCUAUGGAUCAGUACAGACUGGUGGCAUACCGCGUGGUUCUCGAAUGGAUAUUGAAAGGUAAAAAACUUGGAAGACACAACAGGAAAGUUCUUCCAUCUUGUGUAGUGCGAGCUGUACGGGAAAGAUAUCCCUCAUCCUCGGGAGUAUAUGUUGGUUUCAAGGAUGCCGAAGAAGCUUUUAUCCUAAUGUAAAGAAAUUAAAAGCAAGUCAAUACACUAAUUUAUUUUUAUUUUUUUGAAUAUUUACAUUUAACAUUUGUGUAUUGUUGAUAUACUUGUUAAAUAAAAAUGUUAAUAAAAAUAUAUUGUCUUUUGUUUGUAAUUUAGGUUUAAGGUUUGCCAAACAGUUUUAGUUUAGAUGUUAAAGAGAAUUUUAGUCAGAGAGCUUUCUUUAUCACUGCAAUAGAUAUGCACAAUUUGUUAUUAUCAACAGUUUCAAAAACUAUAUACAAAUUUUUCUAACCAAAAAAAAAUUAUAUAUAUGUAAAUAUGCAUCAUGAGAUAGCAUUUCACCAAAAGAAAAAUCUAACAAAAUAAGAAAAGGCCAAAAAAU